GUAGGAUAGAUCCCCUAAUCAGGAUCUCAAUCGUAGAGUAGGUCCCCUGAUUUUCAAAUAUGAUUUAAUUUAAACUAAUAUGAUUUCGAUAAUUAAAACUAAUACAAAGAGGUAAUACAUAAACUAAAAAUUAAAAAAUUACUUUGAUAAUAUAAUAUUAUUUUAUCGAUUUUACUCAAUUUUCAAUCAUACUCUUAACCUAUCCUCUUUUUCCUCCUAUCUUGUAUUAGAAUAGAUAUAAAUAUAUACAAGAAAAAAGAUUUACAUCAUCAUAACUCAUAUAUAGCAUCCCAUCAUAUGUAUAUAAUAGACAUAAAUAUAUACAAAGUAAGCAUAGAAAGUUUGAUUUGAACCUAAGAAGAAUGAAAGCAAAAGAGGAUAAACAAAAGAGAAAAAAAUAAUUUUUAUUUUUGAUUUAUUUGUUC
rnacentral:lncRNA from 1 species